GGGGGCGUACCGGUUUCGACCGGAUGGCAUGAGGUUCAGAUUGCGUGUCGUGGUUGGUCGGCUGGCCACGUUAAAAGUCGACCGUGCUUCAAUUGCCGAAGCUCAGUUCGCUCUGGCUGCUUAACUAAGCAGCCCCGCGCGAUGGCCCCAGCCGGAAGGGCCUCCCAAGCGGUCGCCAAAUCCGGCUCGCCCCGUUCCACCGCCUGGUACGGACGGGGCUAAAAACGUUCCGGGCUGGCCCGCGAGGCACCCUGUCGGCCGGGGACCCGCGGGCGAGACUCAAAUCGACCGGAUACACACGUAGACGUUUGUUCUGAAACAUCACGGGACGCGGGUUCGACUCCCGCCGCCUCCAUUU
rnacentral:tmRNA from 1 species